rnacentral:lncRNA from 1 species
UUUCUUGUCCCUUGAUUUUUCUUUUUUCUCUAUGUUAUUCCCUUGGUAGAGAAAAAAGAAUGGUGGUUGAACAACUCUUAUUAUAGGAAGUUGUUGAAGAGUUAUGUGCAUGACUAACCUGCAUUUAAAGAAUUUCAUUAAGCAUAAUUGUAGGAAGUUGUUGAAGAGUUCGAGUUGCUUCUGACUCAUCAAUCUCCGUUUCAAACUGCGGUCAACAUAUCCACAUGCAUAUAUCCAAUUAGCAACCUCGUUUUUCGUUUCCACAUCCACCUUGUCGCAGUUUGAAUUUAUCAGUAUCCGCUGAAAAUCGUUUUUGUCAACUACAAACUGUGAUUCUCCAAAGCCAAGCGAGAGAAUCAAUGAGAAAGGGUUCUCUCGUUGAGCAUUGGCUUCAGGGAUCUCUUUGGUUUUGAUGCCAUGUACUCUCUUUAAUAUCCUCUCUAGCAACAACCAGCGAUAGGAAUCAAAAUCUCUCUUCCAGGUGAAUUUGGAAGGUGGCUCAAAUCUUCAUUUGCUUUAUUGUACAAAGUCUUCUGAACAUAGAAGAUCAUAUAACAUUGUGAAGCUCUUACCGUUGCCUCAUCAACCUUCGUUAUCCAAGCAUCGUCACAUCGAUACCAUUGCUUCCUUAACCGUACAAAAGUAACAUAAUGGCCAGACUCGAGCGUCCCCGAAUGUGUCACCACUGCGAAUAUCUCGAACUUGGAAAAUGUAUCUGAUUCAUCGCCUCCAAAAUUAAAAAUUCGAUUUCCAUAUUUGGCUCUGAGGAUAGAAGAGGACAAAUAUGGAGUCAUGUCCAAGGAGAAUGGAAAUUGUAGGUAGCGGUCAAUCUUUCUCGAUAACUUCUUAACGAAAGAAUGCUCAAAUCGUUUUACAUGCAAAGUAAGUACCAAAGGGAGUUUACUAAUAGACAUUUGUUUCAAUGCAUUCUGCCUCUCCUUACAAUUUUGGCAGUAAAGUUUCUGAUCUGACCCUAGCUUCUCUGGCCGAGUGAACAAAUCCAAACAACCGAGAAGUGUCGACAUGUUGUCAUCCGCAUUUUGUUUGGUAAGUUUUUUACCCUUUUCGGUCAAAGAUAUAUUGAUAUCGAGAUUAAGUGAAAUGUCCAAAAAAGGGUCAUAGGUUGUUGAGGUGAAUCCACAGGCCAUACAUGUAACUUCUGAUCUCAAUUGUCCAUAGAACACUCUAUGAGCAAUGCAUUGACAGUCACCACCAUUGCCUGUAUAAAGCAAUAAUUAUGCAUCAUGUAUUUGAGUAAAACAUAAUAACCGC